CUGUGUUUAACUCUUGUGUUUAACUUAAACCUCUGUGUUUAAGCCAACUGUGUUUAACCCCUGAGAUUGAAGGUUUAUUUGUUGUCGCAUCAUGGCCUGGAAUAUUCUAACCAAUACAACUGCUUUGUAUAGCAUAUCUCCAUAAAAGCCAAGGAUAUUUUCCCAAAAUAGUUGUCUAGGGGAGCAAAGUUGUAUAGUGAGAGCACACGGCUUUCGGUGGUUCCGGCUUGGCCUCGGGUACACGCUGGAAUAUCCAGGGGAACUAUCCAGGUGUAAACGCUCCGUACAGUCCUCCAUGUGAAUUACUUUUUGAAAUAAAAAUUCUUAUGAGUUGGCCAGUUAAAUCUUUGGGGUUAUAUUCCCUAGCAAGAAUUUGUAAUACUGAUAUUGUGUUUUCAUUAAGUGUGGAAACAUGGCUUUGAAAACGAGCCAGAGGAGAAACGGAAUUAACAUUCUCUUAGGAAAAUGAAGCUGCUGGCCUGUACUCCGCAUGAACAGAAGGACCGCUGUGGGACCUCUAGAAAACAGAGGUGUUCCUCCAACAACAGUUCCAGAAUUCCUCCAAAGCGAGCACAGGAAGGUGGAGGUUCCAAGGUGGACGGUUAGAGUGGACAUCUGCGAUUUAUCUGCCAGACGGUUAUUCUCUCUUCCUCUGCGCAUCCCUCCAGGAAAGAGAAAGACCUAUUUGUUUUGGCCUAAACUGAAGAAGGCAGCUGAAAUUCCAACUGCCUGCAGAGAAGCACUCGAUGAAGCCCUUGGAAUUGUUUGGAAGUCUGGAAAGAUAUCUGCAAAGAAGAGGAACAAAGAGAAGAUUGGAAGGAGCCAGGUGGACCUGCCAUCACUCAUACAGUGAAACUCCAGUCUUGGAAGGGAGAAAUGGGAGAUAGCAAGAGAGUCCCCCAGGAGAGCCACAUACAUCCAGGCUAUGCAGUGGGAAGUGAACUGCACCUGCUACAUCUACCAAACUGCCAUCUCUACAUCCAUCUCCAUUUCUUCCUCCCGUGCCCUUUGCUGCCUCCUCCCAGAAUCCCUGUUGACACAGCCUCUGCCCUCAAGCCUGAGCCUUACCUGCCUCCCUAGCCUCAGCCCCCGAAGCUUAACAUACCCUGCAGCAUGUCCUAGGCACAAUCAACUAUAAUCAGCCUCUAGCCCUAUAACAGAUGGAGCUCUUGUGAUUUCCUGCAGCUGUGCCAGUUGUUGAGGAUGCCAGCAGCUGAAUCCCUUCAUGGAAGACGCUGAGAGAGACAGUAUAGUAGCGGAAAGGAUGUGAGUUUUGCAGUCAGAUCAGUACUCAAAUUGAGAUCUCAACUUACCAGCUACUUGACUUGACAUGCCCUCCUUGAGACACCAUUUCUUUAUUGCCCGCUUCAAGGAAAUAAUAAAAUGAAAAUAAUAAAACCUACCUCUUGGGGCUAAGUGUGGAUCAGCAUGAUGCACUUGGAAAGUAGCUGGAAUGAAUAUUUCUUGUUUUCCUUGUCCUGCAUCCUGUCCUCUUUCUACGACAAUGCCUUGGAUUUUCCGUGGGGGACCACUGCCCCCCUCUUGGUCAAUGUGGUCUGAUUAGGUGACUCUACUUUUCCUCUGAGGUGGAAGGAUGGCUUAGCCAAAUCAGGCCCAGUAGAAUCUCAGUGAUUGGUUCAGUGAUGAGCACUUGACCAAGUCUGUGCCAAUGAGAAUUGGCCUUAGAACUUUUCCUGGUACCAUUGGGAUAGAAGCCUCCUGUUCCCUGGAGCAGCCCUGUGGCUGAAAUAUGAGCCAAGAGCUGUGGCAGCUAUCUUGCCACAACAAUGGAAGGGGAGCUUUCUUAGAAUGAUUUCAACAUUGAAGAAAAUGGGGCUGAGGGAGGGAGAGAGCAAGGCCCUAGACAACUUGGGAUACCUGGAAUCAGCUGUAACAAUUUGAUCAACUCCCACUUUUCAGAUGCCAGAGGUGAUACAUUUUCUCAUUGGCUUUUUUCACUGUGAGAUGGCUACUGUUAUGAGCUAAAAUGUGUGUCCCUCUUCCUCAACAAAUUCACGUGUUAAAGCCCUAAUGUCCAGUACACGGAACGUGACUGUAUUUGGAGAUAGGUCCUUUAAGGAGGGGAUGAGGUUGUUGACAUAGGCUAUUAGGGUGUGCCCUAAUCCAAUCUGACUGGUGUCCUUAUAAGGAGAGGAAAUUAGAUGCACACACAGCAGAGAGUUGCACAAAUAUACAACGCGAGGACGCAGUGAGAAGGCAGCCGUACGCAAGCUAAGGAGGCCUCAGAAGAAACCAAACCCACCAAUGCCUUGAUCUUGGACUUUUAGCCUCCAGUACUGUGACAAAAUAAAUUUCUGUUGCUUAAACCACCCAGUCUGUGGUAAUUUGCUAUGGCAGCUAGUAACUAACACAGCUACCAAAGGACACUUGACUAAUACGCUUUCUUUUCCUGCAAUCUAUGGGAGAACCAUAAAUGGCCACUUUUCAAUGUUGGAUAGGAAUACACCAAGGGUUUCGGAGAUGGGAGAGAAUAGAGUGCUGAAGUAGUCAGACAGGGCUUCGUGGCAGGUGAGUAGGGGUAAAACCCAGGCUGGGCUUUAACGAAUCAGUAGAGAAGAUAAAGGCAUCUAAGUAGAAGGAACGACCCAGGUGGGAAAUAGGAUAACUAAGCCAACUGACCCAGCCAGAGAGUGGCUGAGAGAGAAAAGGAAUACUGGAUAAACGUUGAAGGGCCAAAUUAUGGAAAGUCUUCUCAAGUCCAUACUGGGGAGUUUGAAAUGUAUAUUGUAAAGGACAAGAAUUCAUUGUUGGUCUUGGGGCAAGGGAGUCACAACUUGAAGGUGGUGUUUAAGGAAGCUUAGCUGCCUCCAGAGAUGGGGAGAGAGCAAAGUCAGGGAAACCAUCUCUGAAACAUUGGAUUCCUAUCAGGUUCCUACUGGGAGAUGGGGAGGAGAUGACCCACCAGUCUACUUGAGACAAGGUCCUCCUUCCAAGCAAAGGAGCAGUCUCAGUGGGUGUUGGGGAGGCUGAUGGGAGGCUUUGAGGUUAGAUUUGGUGACAGCUUUAGUUUAUUAAUGUUCUCUGCCCCUCCCCCAAGGAACACAGCUGGAUCACAGCUGGAUGCCAUCAUCAUUGUGAAGGGGAUCCAGCUAACCCACUCCACCACUGCUGUCCCACCUC
ensembl:lincRNA